GAUGAACGCUGGCGGCGUGCCUAAUACAUGCAAGUCGAACGAAACUUCUUUGUCACCGAGUGCUUGCACUCACCGAUAAAGAGUUGAGUGGCGAACGGGUGAGUAACACGUGGGCAACCUGCCCAAAAGAGGGGGAUAACACUUGGAAACAGGUGCUAAUACCGCAUAACCAUAGUUACCGCAUGGUAACUAUGUAAAAGGUGGCUAUACUACCGCUUUUGGAUGGGCCCGCGGCGCAUUAGCUAGUUGGUAGGGUAAAGGCUUACCAAGGCAAUGAUGCGUAGCCGAAUUGAGAGGUUGAUCGGCCACAUUGGGACUGAGACACGGCCCAAACUCCUACGGGAGGCAGCAGUAGGGAAUCUUCCACAAUGGGCGAAAGCCUGAUGGAGCAACGCCGCGUGGGUGAAGAAGGUCUUCGGAUCGUAAAACCCUGUUGUUAGAGAAGAAAGUGCGUGAGAGUAACUGUUCACGUUUCGACGGUAUCUAACCGGAAAGCCACGGCUAACUACGUG
rnacentral:rRNA from 1 species